rnacentral:rRNA from 1 species
GACGAAGGGGGCUAGCGUUGUUCGGAAUUACUGGGCGUAAAGCGCGUGUAGGCGGUUGUUCAAGUCAGGUGUGAAAGCCUUGAGCUCAACUCAAGAAAUGCACUUGAUACUGGAUGACUAGAGGACCGGAGAGGAUAGUGGAAUUCCCAGUGUAGUGGUGAAAUACGUAGAGAUUGGGAAGAACACCAGUGGCGAAGGCGGCUAUCUGGACGGUUUUCUGACGCUUAAGACGCGAA